rnacentral:lncRNA from 1 species
AGACCACUGCCGUUUUCUAUUUGAGUGACGGCCAGACUUAGAAAGGAUAAGACACCACGAGACAAAAUCUUCUCAGAGGGGUUUUUCUGCUGCUGGAAAUAGGAAAAGAAACCUUGUUUGCAUGAAGGUGGUGUCAGAUGAUGAAGGAUCAGACUGGAAGAAGAGCCAGGACACCACCCCCAGUCACCUACACUUUGUGACCCUGGGCUUCAAAGGGCUCUGGACUGCCACUAAACAGAAAUGUGGGGUUGUCUGGAGCUCAAGCCCUGCUGUGGCAGCACUGGGAAUGAUGCUUUUUGACCGAAGAAGCGGUGGACACGGCAUCACUCCCUGCCCUCUCAGGGCACAGCUUUGGGGUUUUGUAUGCACUUUACAAAGAGCUUUGCAUAGUCAUUACUCAGCAAAUAACCAAAAGAAACAGGUUUGUAAUUGGUUUGCUCAGACAGUUGUAAAUUAUUAGCAUUUACUCUGCCCUGGUGCGUGUACAACCCGGGAGAAAAAACCCUUCUUGUAAGGGCCUGUCCUGCAACCGCUGCUCAGAGCCUUUGCUCCGCCAAGCUGGGUCACAGAAACCAUCCCAGUUAUUAAUGGGAUUAAGCAGCAGGCACCCUGCCCCUGUAUUUAAUUUUGAAAGUGCUCUUUAGUGCUCCAGUGCCCGGAUCAUGCCAAACCCCCACUCACCUCCCCAUCCCAAGGUGGACAUGCACUGGGCUCCUGCCCACAUCACCAACCACUUCUGCCCUUUCAAGCUGCUGCUCCUGGAGCCUGAACCCAAACUUCCCAGCAGCAAAACCUCCCCCAAAACCUAGGGCAGUGCUCCCAGCAAGGCACAGGGCAAACCAGAAGAUGCCUUUCCAUGCAAAGCACAAAAUAAACCUGCCCUGACCGAUGGGGAGGGGAUGCA